AUUGAACGCUGGCGGCAUGCCUUACACAUGCAAGUCGAACGGCAGCACGGGGCAACCUGGUGGCGAGUGGCGAACGGGUGAGUAAUGCAUCGGAACGUACCUUUCAGUGGGGGAUAACGUAGCGAAAGUUACGCUAAUACCGCAUAUUCUGUGAGAAAGAAAGCAGGGGAUCGCAAGACCUUGCGCUGAUUGAGCGGCCGAUGUCAGAGGAGCUAGGUGGUGAGGUAAAGACUCACCAAGGCGACGAUCUGUAGCGGGUCUGAGAGGAUGAUCCGCCACACUGGAACUGAGACACGGUCCAGACUCCUACGGGAGGCAGCAGUGGGGAAUUUUGGACAAUGGGGGCAACCCUGAUCCAGCCAUGCCGCGUGAGUGAAGAAGGCCUUCGGGUUGUAAAGCUCUUUCGGCCGGGAAGAAAUCGCACGGGCUAAUACCCUGUGUGGAUGACGGUACCGGAAUAAGAAGCACCGGCUAACUACGUGCCAGCCGCCGCAGUAAGAC
rnacentral:rRNA from 1 species